AAAUACUACCCAGUGACCGAUAGCGUAUAGUACUGUGAAGGAAAGGUGAAAAGCACCCCGGGAGGGGAGUGAAAAAGAACCUGAAACCCUGUGCCUACAAGCACCUAGAGCGCGUCAAAGCGUGAUAGGGUACUUUUUGUAGAACGGUCCGGCGAGCGAUUGUAUGCAGCAAGGUUAAGGACUUAAGGUCUGGAGCCGAAGCGAAAGCGAGUUUGAAAAGGGCGUUAAGUUGCAUAUAAUGGGCCCGAAACCGGGUGACCUACCCAUGGUCAGGUUGAAGUGGAAGUAAAAUUCCAUGGAGGACCGAACCGACCUCCGUUGAAAAGGCGGCGGAUGAACUGUGGGUAGCGGAGAAAUUCCAAUCGAACCCGGAGAUAGCUGGUUCUCCCCGAAAUAGUUUUAGGACUAGCCUCAAGUUAGAUACCUGGAGGUAAAGCACUGAAUAGCCUAGCGGCCGAGAGGUUAGCGAAGCUUAUCAAACUCAGAAUGCCAGAGUAUUGAUGCUUGGGAGUCAGACAGUGUCAGAUAAAUGUCAUUGUCAAAAGGGAAACAGCCCAGAUCUACAGCUAAGGUCCCAAAGUCAGGUUAAGUGGAAAACGAUGUGAAGAUACGCAGACAACCAGGAUGUUGGCUCAGAAGCAGCCACUCAUUCAAAGAGUGCGUAAUAGCUCACUGGUCGAGCGUCUUUGCGCGGAGAAUUUAACGGGGCUAAACCUGACACCGAAGCUUAGGCAAUCCAGUAAUGGAUUGGGUAGGGGAGCGUUGUAUACGCGGAGAAACAGUAGCGUAAGCGGCUGUGGAGUGUAUAGAAGUGAGAAUGCCGGAAUGAGUAGCGCGAAUGCAGUGAGAAUCUGCAUGGCCGAAAGCCUCAGGUUUUUGGAGGAAGGUUCGUCCGCUCCAAGUUAGUCGGGAGCUAAGGUGAGGCCGGAAGGCGUAGCCGAUGCACAGACGGUAGAGAUUCCGUCACCACCAAAAGAGUUAAGCACAGGGACACAUUUGAAGUCUCAGAGCCGGGUGUUGGUUCCGGUAGAGAUCGAGGGAAGUUAGUACCGAAGUCUGAGAUGGAAGAUGGCGAGAAAAGCUGUGUGUAUUUCUGAGGUGCCCGUACCGCAAACCGACACAGGUAGGUAGGAAGAAGAUUCUAAGGCCAACGGGAGAAGGGUUGUUAAGGAACUCGGCAAAUUGACCCCGUAACUUCGGGAGAAGGGGUGCUCCAGAGAUGGAGCCGCAGAGAAUCGGCCCAAGCAACUGUUUACCAAAAACACAGGUUUGUGCUAAAUCGAAAGAUGACGUAUACGAGCUGACGCCUGCCCGGUGCUGGAAGGUUAAAAGGAGAUGUGCAAGCAUUGAAUUGAAGCCCCAGUGAACGGCGGCCGUAACUAUAACGGUCCUAAGGUAGCGAAAUUCCUUGUCAGGUAAGUUCUGACCCGCAUGAAAGGCGUAAUGAUUUGGGCACUGUCUCAACAGCCCGCCCGGCGAAAUUGUAGUACCGGUGAAGAUGCCGGUUACCCGCGACAAGACGGAAAGACCCCAUGGAGCUUUACUGUAGCCUAAUAUUGGGUUUCGAUGUUGCAUGCACAGGAUAGAUGGGACACAGGGAAACAGGAGCUUUGGCUUCUGCGGAGUGGCCGUUGGGAUACCAUCCUUGCGAUAUUGGAAUUCUAACCUGCGGCUCUGAAUCGAGUCGGGGGACAUUGUUAGGUGGGCAGUUUGACUGGGGCGGUCGCCUCCUAAAAAGUAACGGAGGCGUUCAAAGGUUCGCUCAGCUUGAACGGAAAUCAAGCAAAAGAGUGCAAACGCAGAAGCGAGCCUAACUGCGAGACUGACGGGUCGAGCAGUAACGAAAGUUGGAGUUAGUGAUCCGGUGGUAUGUGAGUGGAAAUGCCAUCGCUCAACGGAUAAAAGUUACCCUGGGGAUAACAGGCUGAUCUCCCCCAAGAGUCCACAUCGACGGGGAGGUUUGGCACCUCGAUGUCGGCUCAUCGCAUCCUGGGGCUGUAUUCGGUCCCAAGGGUUUGGCUGUUCGCCAAUUAAAGCGGUACGCGAGCUGGGUUCAGAACGUCGUGAGACAGUUCGGUCCCUAUCUGUCGUGGGCGCAGGAUAUUUGAUGGGAGCUGUCCCUAGUACGAGAGGACCGGGACGGACGUACCUCUGGCGCACCAGUUGUUCCGCCAGGAGCAUAGCUGGGCAACUACGUACGGAUCGGAUAAACGCUGAAAGCAUCUAAGCGUGAAGCCGACCCAAAGAUAAGAUAUCCCAUUGU
rnacentral:rRNA from 1 species